CAAACUAUGUAAUUCACAAUCAAAAUUUUUCAGUCAGUGGAUCUCAAAGCCAUUCUUAGUUUUUAUCCUCAUAAUACUCCUGGGGGUAAUUAUUAUCCCAAUUUUAUGGACCGGCAACUGAGAUACAGAGAGGCUAAGCCUAAGGUCAUACAAAAAGUCUGUGGCAGAACAGAAGACUGGACGUUGGUCUCCCAAAAAGCAGUUUUUAAAAGGAGAUUGGAGGAAGGACCGGUGAUGAAUAGGAAUCAGCACAACCUACAGUGUGACUGUGUGACGAAUCAAGUCUGAAACAUGUCAGUGCUGCUUAACAGCAUCAUCAUCAUCAAUGGACUCAGACACACAGAAUGAGAAAUUCCAGGAAAAAUACACCUAAAAAGAAUGAAGACUAUGAAUACUAUCCAAAGUGUUCACUCUAGGAAUCAGUGCAGGACAGUAACUUGAAUUAAGGGAAAGUGGUGGAAGACAUUUCCUCCAAAAUGAAAAUUGCAGCUGACAAGAUCAUCCACCAGCGGUCCUGUGAAUGCACUCUUGCUGCUAGUUUAUGUCACAUUAGAAAUGUGUUCCUGAAACCACAGAGCAUUUUCAGGGGGGAGUAGGAGGAACUGCCAAUGCUGUUACUCUGUUUUAUAAGCAUUAACUUUUCCCUCAAUAUCAACCAAGGCUUCACCUCCUCCUUCCACCUUUCUGGGUAAUUUAGUCGACAGAUGGAGCAAAACUUGAGCAUUAAUGAUUAUUAUGAUCUGCACUUACAAGGGUUGGGCCAAAGGAAGCAACUACAGCUGUGGACUGCUGUUCAUCUGAAUUUCCAUACUUUAUAGGAUUGCUUAAAAAUUCCUGAUUUCAUUAAACCUGGAUCAAAAGUUAACCCGUAUCUUCCAUGGCAAGGGACCAGACUUUGAAAUUGGUGCAUGUACACAAGCCAUUCAAAAGGUAUAUUUACAUUGCCCCCCAAAUUAACAUUGGUCAUUGUGACGGGGAAGACGAUCCCCGCACUCGACCCAGCUGGUCGGCGGGUGCCAACGGCUGGGGAGGACCGAAGGCAGCCGUAGCAGGGGCACGGCUGACCGAGGACCAAGUCAUGACGAGU